UGCGGUAUACUUUAAGUUUAAAAGUUUUUGUUUGCAAUAAGAGAAUGGAUUUUUUGUCCUGUCGCAU
rnacentral:tRNA from 1 species